GACGAACGCUGGCGGCGUGCUUAACACAUGCAAGUCGAACGGAGCACCCUUGACUGAGGUUUCGGCCAAAUGAUAGGAAUGCUUAGUGGCGGACUGGUGAGUAACGCGUGAGGAACCUACCUUCCAGAGGGGGACAACAGUUGGAAACGACUGCUAAUACCGCAUGACGCAUGACCGGGGCAUCCCGGGCAUGUCAAAGAUUUUAUCGCUGGAAGAUGGCCUCGCGUCUGAUUAGCUAGAUGGUGGGGUAACGGCCCACCAUGGCGACGAUCAGUAGCCGGACUGAGAGGUUGACCGGCCACAUUGGGACUGAGAUACGGCCCAGACUCCUACGGGAGGCAGCAGUGGGGAAUAUUGGGCAAUGGACGCAAGUCUGACCCAGCAACGCCGCGUGAAGGAAGAAGGCUUUCGGGUUGUAAACUUCUUUUGUCAGGGAAGAGUAGAAGACGGUACCUG
rnacentral:rRNA from 1 species